rnacentral:rRNA from 1 species
CCUACGGGUGGCAGCAGUGAGGAAUAUUGCACAAUGGGCGAAAGCCUGAUCCAGCGAAGCCGCGUGAGUGAAGACGUACCUCGGUGUUUUAAGCUCUAUUAGCAGGGGAGAAAAUGCGGGUACCUGAUUCAGAAGCUGUGGCUACCUACGUUCAAGCAGCCGCGGUCUUACGUAAGGGCCCCGCGUUAUCCGGAUUUACUGGGGGUAUAGGGCGCGUAGACGGGAGCAUAAGUCCGGAGUGAAAUGCCGGGUCUUAACCGCGGAACUGCAGUUGAAACUGGCGAGCUUGAGUGCAGGAGAGGUAGGUGGAAUUCGUGGUGUAGCGGUGAAAUGCGUAGAUAUCAUGAAGAACACCGAUGGCGAAGGCAGCUGACCGGACUGUAACUGACGCUGAGGCUCGAAAGCGUGGGUAGCAAACAGGAUUAGAUACCCUUGUAGUC